UAUAUGUAAAUACUAAUCAGACACAAGACAGUGAUAUAGUGUUGCAAUAUGAGAGGUGGCAAACCGGUGGCCAUAGGCCAAAUCUGACUUGUAGACACGUUUAGUUUAGCUGGCAAGGAAUUCAAAAAAUUGUCAGAGUUCACAUAAAAAUCAAUAUUUCCAUCUGUUUUUGAAAUAACAGAUCUGGCAAUAAUCUGGAGGAGGUAAAACACCACUGUCCCCUUUAGCUGGGAUGUGCUCUCAGUGUCAUAGGCCACAUACCCACCCCCCACCUCACCCACUUCCCUGUUGAGUUAAACUGGUUCUUUUCGUUCAUCCACGUUCGCUACCACCAUCGUGCAUGUGUUAGAAUUUGGGACCCUUAGAAUGAAAAGCCAUCAGAAGACCCAAAGGAGGGAACCAUCAGCUCUGCUCAAGGGAGUCAGAUCAGUUAUCCCUUGAACUAAGUCCAAGUACUUUGUUGAUUUGAUGACUUGUAUACUGUUUCUCCCCUGCCCCCAUCGUCAGAUGCAUAAGGGAAAGGCUCCAGUCGGUUCCCUCCUCCAAGUAUCUCCAGCCCACAGCAGAGUGCCUGGUACAGGGCCGAUCUCAAUGCACACUUGUGAAAUGUGUUGAAUGAAUGGAGUCGCUAGAAGCAUCAGGUGGAAAAGGGAAUUCCAAGCAAAGGGAACUGUGGGUGCAAAAGCGUGACAGUGAAUAGUAUAGUGGGAAGCUGCAAAUAGUUGGUGGUGAAUAGGGGUGGGGGUGGGGUGCCGGAAGUGUGAGGAGGGUGGGAUGAGGUAGGGUGGAAGCAGCAGGAGUUGAAGCCAGGAAAAGACUCCCAUGGGAUCCCGAAGGGCUUUUUAGAGUGUAUUAGGAAGGUAACCACGGAAUCUUGGAAGUGAUUUAAGGAGUGGAGUGACAGGAUCAGAUUCUUGUUUCACACAGAUGACUCUGGCAGGGUGGUGGGGUGGGGAGAAAUGGGAAGCUACAGAGGGAAGACAGAAGCAGCAAAUAGAAACUUCAACUCAAUAUUCCCCUGAGGCCCUUGAAAUGCCACUGGGGAUCUAUUUUAAGAAAAUGGUGCCCCCUGCUGACUAGGUCUGGGCUUGCAUCUCCCCCUGGCCAAGAGGGAAAUUACAAAACGUUUGGCCCUGAACAAAAAGUACCUGGAAGCCCUGGGCACAGAAUUGCAAGUGGUGAUACAUCUGAGAGUGCCUUCCUUUCCUAGAAAAAGAGGGGCCCAUGAGAACGGGUGACAGUGACUAAUGCCACAAACUGUGUUGCCAGAUAAAUACAGAACACCAGCUAAAUCUGAAUUUCAGAUAAACAAGACACAAUUGUUUGGUAUAAAUAUGUCUCAAAUAUUGCAUGGGACAUACUUAUACUCAACAAGUAUGUGCUGUUUAUCUGGAACUCAAAUUUAGCUGGGCAUCUUGUAUUUUUAUUUGCUAAACCUGACAACCUUAGAUAAAGUGUGUUGGAGGGGCCAGGAGAAAACUAGAAAUGAAAUCAGAUGCGUUACCUUCCUUGGGUUUCUCUGCAAACUCAAUCUCACCCCUCCAUCUAAACAGAGCUGGAGAUGAUGCUUUCUCAUAUUUUGCAGUGUUGCCCAGUUAUACAAUAACUCUAUUUGGGAAAUCAGUUUCCAUUAAAUGAGCCCAUGAUUACAGUGGACCCUGUGUAUGGACCCCUAAGAGAAUCUAAAGAGAGCUGUGGACCCUUUUCACAGCAAAACCAACCUACUAGCUUGACAUAUGUGUGAGCACCUGUGUUACACACACAUUUUUACAUUAAAAUUUCAGGGAGUUCUCAGCCUUCGUGUAAGAGUGACGUUCCCUCUAGGGCUAUGGUCUGAAUGUGGCAGUUCCAGGGUCUUGAGUAGGAAGAAAUGGUGUCUAGUCAGCCCCUAAGCUGAAACAUGAUGCUUCUGCUAGCUCUGGCCACCCACACACCAUGACAAAACACAGAAGUGGGCAGGAAGAAAUAUUCUGUCCCCUUCCUCGGAGGAUGCCUUGAACCUCUUCCCUCUUCCACCUCUCCCAGAAAUAACAACAAGUCGGGCAUAUUUGGACAGAAAACCCACCAGCCCUUGUAGCCUUGCGCCUCAGCCGAGUGGAAGGCACCGGAUGAAAUCGCUCCCCGUUCCAAGACCCUCUUUGUUCUCCUUUCCAGCCUUCUUGCCAUGGCAGGCAUAGCACCCUGGUUCCCAGUCUGAGGACUGUGCCUGUCAGAAAUUAGCUUUCACCAGUAGGGGGAGGUUCUUCCAGGAUAAAUUCUGGGUGCUCUGAGCUGGGUGAUGAAAGCCUCGGCCUGAACAUCCUGGGAGCAGACAUUGGAGCAGAGGUGCCGAGUCUGUCUCCCUCCCGCAGCCCUUAGAGGAAAGCCUUCUGGCCCCACAGCCUGCUCUCCUCUUGACCCUGCAGAGGGAAGGCAGAAGGUCAGGCAGAUGUUGUUUUAGACUCUCUCAGAAUGUUCGAAAUGAUGUAAAACCUCAUUGCAUGUUGCUUCCAUCUUUGUCAGCAUGCUUAUGCGACAUUCAGCUUCAGGAGACUGAAUCAUGGAAUACAAGCCCCAAAUUGACCAAGGUGUUUCAAGCCAACAAUCAUAGUGAUAUGCUUACAAUGUAUUACCAUAGGAUGACAUUUUAUGUUGAACAUUUUCUGCAAUUAAUCAAUUUUUCUUAUUACCUAUAUAGUGAUAUGAUUUCCAACUAUCAUUUCUUUGGAAGAAGGAUUCUUUAUUCUGAGGUGGAUAGCCUUUCCUAAAAUUUUUGGACUUAAAGUGUCCUUUUGUAAGCCAUAAUGAUAUUAGAUUUUUUUUUAAAGUCCUUACUUGAAAAUAUAAAAAGCCAGCAUACUUAUAUCAGCCCCCCAAAUUAUUUGAAAAUUCUACUGGAUCAGGAAAUCCAAACAGCUGGAAACCACUGGCUCAGGCUUAGCUUGCUGACCUCUGACAUGUGCUAAGCGGAGGCCCACUCUGAGCCCUGCCCUGCCACGGAGUCGCGUGACCUUCAGCCGAUGCACUUUGGUGGACUUUGGGCUCCCUAUUCCGAAUACGGGGAGACUUGUUUUUGGCCUAAGCUCUCCCCAGGAGUGUUGUAAGGAUAAAAUGCCAUGAACUAAAAGAGCUUUGGGAAAGGAGGAGCUCAAUAAAUAUGAGAUUGCUGUUCCUAAAGACAGCUGGUGUGUUUUCAGUGGGAAGGGCUGAAUGAUCCCGCAGAGACCCAGGACAAUUUCUCUGCCAGGACAUCUGGGGAGAGUGACCGGCACCACUCAGAAAGUGUGCAAACUGUUCCACCAACAAGUGGGACCAGAUGGCAGAGGCAAUGGGCCUCCUGAGGAGGUUGGCUUCUCCCCCCUCCAAGGGCAUAGGUCCAAGAUGCAACUAGAACUCGGGGAACCUUGAGUUCUAGUUAAUCUCUCUGGGACAUACCCAGGGACCUACUGCAAGUUGCCCCCUUCCCUAACUUGUUUUUCCAUUUAUAAAAGGUGCAGAUGCCUGCUCAGUCCUCUUCACAGGGGUGUUACAGGGCUGUGAGAAAACACAUCACCCAAUCCUAAAGAACUCACUUUAGAGAUUACCCACAGUGAAUGUUUAAUUCCUGCCCCUUUCAGUCCUUUGAAAAGCAACAUAUAAUUUUUCUUCCUUAUAUUGAUUAAUUGCAGAAUAGCCUUCCCUAUGGUUUUACCCCAAAUCACAUUUGUGCGUCACUCCUCUUGCCCUAGGCUAAGAGGUGUACAGGAAAUGGAAAAACCACUCUACCAUGAACCUGAGCACACACACCUAAGGAAGUAAGCCAGACAGUUUGACCAAAAUAGACAUUAAGUACAGUACACCCCAAAAGGAAAACACAGUGCUUGGGGAAAUGUGUGUGCUGGUGCCCUCCCUUCCACACAUAGCUGAGAAUUAACUGCAGAUGAAAGUCCUUUGAUGCUUAGAAACCUGAGACAUCAGGCUGCCCAGGGUUAGCGGUCAACAAUACUUCUGUUUGAACUUGCCUGGUAUUUCACGUUUAUCGGUACCAUUAUAACCUAGCAGAGUGUUACCAACGCCGAGUCUGACUUGGCACUCUCAGUUCCUGUGAUCCUGUAGGUGAGUACGCCACCCCGAACGAGCUGGCAGCUCACACAACAUUUUAAAAUAUCUUGCAGUUGAGCUGAAAUGACGCCUCACUGUAGAGCCGCUCACCUGCUCCUGUGCUCUCACUUGAACUGAGUUGAAGCAGGAGCACGGGGAGAACCCAGUCAAGCAGUUUAAAACCCCAUUUCCCACUUGGCGGUAGAGCCAAGUAAAGCUGCCUUUCCACUUCCUUUCAUCUUUACGUGCUCUCUCCAGCUCAAGCCUCACCUUGCCCAGACACCUUCCUUCGUUGUUAGCCCUGCAUUUCUGAGAUGCGAUGAUUUAUCUACCCGUCUCCCUAUUAGACUGUGAACACCCUAGAGGGUAAGUACUGGUCCUACUCAACUUUGAACUCCCAGCAUGUUCACAGGACAUGUCACGCAGAAGGAAGGGUUAGAUGAAUAGACACAGGACUGAAUGAAUAUACCAGAACUGGGCUCCUGGCUCACCAAGGAUAGGACAGGCUUGCUGUAGUAUCAGGUGAGAGCCAUGCUGAGCUGUUGGAAAUCCUCCUUGCUCUUGGUGACUGGUAUGAGGCAUGCCUGAGACCCCUGGUUGGGGCUGGCAGGGGGUAGAGGUGGAGGGGACUGGCCUGAUAGCUGGGAAAAUGUCUCUUGUUAAAACAACAGGCCCAGGUGAGGACUGCUUAUAGGCCCCUGGCCCUGGUAACAUGGUCUCACCACCUAACCAAUCCACAGAAGACAGUUUGGAAGAACUAUCAGUCCAGUAGGGAAGGAGCUAAUUGGUGCAACUUUCAGGAUGAGAAAGAGAGAAAACAAAGGGGUGGAGAAAAGAAGGAAGUUCAGCCAGUUGUAUUUAAAACCUCUUCUCUCAAGGAGGAGUUCAAGAUGAGAGGGGGCCUUUCGGGGCAGAGCUGCAGUGACACUCGGGCCCCUAGAGAGUGAGACGAGUGCAAGUGAGGCAGGUCUUGAAAGGCUGGGCGGGGGGUGGGAAGGCAGCCGCGCAGGAAGGAGGCAGGGCUCCCAUCUGGAGAGCCAAGGGGCUGGGGCUGCUGAACAGAUGGAGUGAAAGUUGCAGCUGGUGGAAAUGCACUUUCAUGUGUAAAGUUUGGUCCACGGAGGAUUUCGAUUUCCAACUCUGAAGGCAGCAGUGGGCAGGUGGCUCUGCUCCAUGCUCCGCCUUCUCCUCCCACUGCCACACAGAAAAUUCGACAGCGGCGGCUCUACGCCAGGACUCAGCCACCGUGCCUUCCACCAGCAUCCCUUUCAACAGGCAGGAGCUGGCAUGGGGACACCAGGGCACAGCCAGGAUGGCAGAGGACUGCAAUGUUUUAGCCGCUGAAGGGGGCAGGGGAAUAGGAGGGAUUAAUCCAGCUUUCCCAGGAGGGGACUGAGAGGACCAAGAACAGAUGCGGAGGUGGAGAAAGGGAAUCAGACCUUCCAAAGCUGUUCAUGACAUACACACUGAGUCUCCGCUCUGGACUUUGGCUGAGCUUUGGGAGGCAGUGGGGAAAUGUGAACACGCAGCAGACUCUGAGGCUCUGGGCUCAUUUUAUCUCAACCUCGAGACAAGAUUCUCAAGGAGAGAAUAUAUCUGUAGUUUUUUAAGAAAUAUCCGCCCACCAGAGCUUUAAGAGAGAAAGUGAUUUUUACAUUCUCUGGGUCUGACAGACAGUUACCUGUCCUGGCAUAUUUAGACCUUGGCCUGUGGGAACAGAAGCCACAAGCACAACAGCUCUUGGGGGAACUGGCCACCCAGCCAGGUUAACCACACCCACGAGGAAGCAGCUUGGGCCAUGAGCACCAAGCUCUGCCUCUUCCCUCUCUCUUUCUUUCUUUACUUGUGCGAGGCUGUGCUCCUGGCCAUCAAAAACAGAAACAGCCAACUCUGUCUUGUUAAAAUCCAAAUGCUUUUUUUAGAGUAUGUGAGUUUGCUUCCUUAAAAAAAAAAUAACAACAGCAACAAAAAA